AUGGCUUUCAUGACUUCCAGAGCUGAAUCAGGGACUGAGAAGAUUAGCCUUGAUCAUCAAGAAGACAAGAACUCGGCAACAGUUAAUGCUAUCUCGAGCGAGCUCCACUUGAAAUCGUCUCAAACCUUAGACAAAGAAGUAGUCCUCCGACGCCUUCGCCAUCACAAGUCCAUAAACAGAAUCAAAAGUGCUUUUGAAGGUCUUUGGGUCUGCUCGACUACAACCCAAGAACAGAAGUGGCUACAACAAGAUGAUGUUUUUUCUUCACCUUAA